rnacentral:ncRNA from 2 species
AUUUAAUGCUUGAAUCCUGGUCGCCGCUGGCCCACCCUCGGCGACCUUCCUGUUCCCUGGCGGGAAGCCGGUGAGAGUCCGGCGCGGUCGCGCCACUGUGAGCUUCGUAAGAAGCGAGCCAGACCUCGCCAGGGGACACCCAUCAUC